AUGUCCGCUUUGAAGCUGUUAUCUCUAGCUAAUAAUGAUCUCAAUGGUGGUUUUAUGCAAUUUACUCUCAACUGCACCAAUGCGAGGAUGAGAUCCCUUGAUUUAUCAGGUAAUGCCUUCUCAGGUCUGUUACCGGAUUCACUGCCGGAGAUGGUCCCAAGGUUGAGGUAUCUAAAUCUGUCCGCUAAUGCAUUCUCUGGCUCCAUACCUUGCUCCCUCUCAAAGCUCCAAAAGCUAGAGAUACGAUGUCUCGAGAGAAAUAACCUUGCAGGAGGUAUCCCAGAGGUGCUGGGGAUGAUACCUGGACUGCGAACUCUUUCACUACACAAUAACCCACUUGGUGGGUCGAUCCCAGCCUCACUUGGGCAGCUUCAGUUGUUAGAGAAGCUCAACAUCGCAAAUGCUAGCUUGGUUUCUACUCUUCCGCCCGAGCUGGGGAACCUUACUAGCCUGCGGUAUAUGGUCCUGGCAGGGAAUCGGUUAUUUGGAAGCUUGCCACCAUCUUUUGCCAUGAUGCACAAGUUGCGGUCUUUUAUAAUAGAGGAAAACAGUAUCAGUGGUACCAUUCCGCAAGAGAUGUUUACAAACUGUACCAAGGUUAAGUAUUUUGAUGUAAAUGGCAACUUGUUAGGUGGAAGCAUACCUUCGCAGGUCAGCAAGUGGAAGGAGCUAACGGGUCUCAUCCUCUCUGGCAACAAAUUUACUGGCUCGAUCCCAGUGGAGGUGGGAAGCAUGCCAAAUUUGCAAGUAUUGUUCUUGUCCUCGAAUCACCUCACUGGAAUUAUGCCACCAAAUAUCGGUAAUGCAUCAUCUUUGAAACUCCUUCGUGCCAGCUUCAACCAUCUUGAGGGUGAGAUUCCUGCAACCAUCUCCUCGCUGGUAAACCUUGUUGCUCUCUUCUUGUCUGACAACAAGUUUACGGGUAUCGGUCCUAAUCUUGACAGCAAGCAGUUGCCAGUUGUCAAAGUGGCCAAGAAUAGCGGGUUCUUGGGAAAACCAUUGUAUGCCUUUUGUCAACUAACACUUCUGCGAAUCUUGGAUCUAUCGAACAAUCAGUUGUUUGGUGAGCUUCCUGGUUGCUUGUGGAAUUUGAGAGAUCAACAAUUCUUGGAUUUGUCGAGCAAUGCUUUUGCUGGGGUAGUUCCAACCUCAGCUAACUACAAUUCGUCGCUAAGUUUGUUGCACUUGUCCAACAACAAGUUCACAGGUUGCUUUCCAGCAGUGUUGAAGAACUUCAAAAGCCUUGUUAUUUUGGAUCUUGGGAACAAUAAGAUGUCUGGUGCACUCCCUCAGUGGAUAGGGGAAAGCAAUCCUUUGCUGAGGAUUCUAAGACUGCGAUCAAACAUGUUCCAUGGAAGUAUUCCCAGUUAG
rnacentral:rRNA from 1 species